GUUUCUGUAGUUGAAUAACAACGGUGGUUUUUCAUAUCGCUAGUCAUGGUUAGACUCCAUGUGGAAAUA
rnacentral:tRNA from 1 species